GAUCAGGCCGGCGGCUGUUUGACACUUCAUCCGCGGUCUCAGCGGGUGCACAAUGGCCAGAUACCUGGGUCUCUGGCCAGGCACUGGUCCAUCAUAUCUCCUGAAGCCUGCAAAGCUCAAAGUUAAGUAACCCUGACAGUUCCACCUUGAACAGUCGAUGGGAAAAGGCGUCCUUUCCAACCCAAGCGUGGGCCAAAGAGCCUGGGCGACAGGAUUCAGCACCAUUGGACACAGACCCUGGCUGUUUUCCUCCGCACCCUAGGCCAGAGAAGAGGAGUCUCCCAGCAGUUUGCAAGCAGCAGACCAGGUUACAUACACCUGUUUCCACAUCAAAGAGGGACUGGAGAGGCCCUGUCCCAGGGCUGGGGUGGAGGUUCUGCAGUGGCCGGAAGCAUCCUCGCCUCCUGGCUUCCUCAAACGCUGGACCCACCUCUGAGAAAACCUCUCCUCCCUUUUGUUGAUCAUGUUCACUAGAUUCUCCUCUGAGCUGCCUCCUUUACCCACUACACUGGCCUUCUCCAAACUUCACUGAGAAGGUAACCCUUGCUUACUAAUUAACCAUCUCGCAAUUAGCUCCUGGUCUGGAGAGAUCUCAUCUAUGCCUUUUCUCAUUUUGCUGUCAGUGAGUGUGGGGCACCUAGUUUUAACAACUAAUAACGCUUUACCCUGUCAAUGGUUUGCUACUGGGUGAACAGAAACGCUCACUGUUAGAAAGACCACAAUCAUUUUUGGGAAAGAGGAUGGAGAUGCGUUUACUUAGCUUGAGCCUUCAGUGGGUUGCCGUGCGAAGCAACUGAAGGCUGGGAAUGCAGUGGAGGGGUGGGGCGGGUUAGAGCUGAGCGUGGCAGGUGUGGCCCAGCAGGUGUGCUGCCUUGGACAGGACAUUUCACUUCGGUCCUCUGCUUGCAGAGAAUAUGUAUCAGCUGUUUCAUCAAGAAUCCAGAGUUAUGUUCAAGAGGAGCCUUUCGUUUACAGCCUUGCUUACUUUCCUUAAGUCACAAAGCCUUCUCUCUGUUCCUGGAAUGCGUCAGGCUUGUGCCUGCCUCCAGGCUUUUGUGCUUGUACAUCCCUUUAUCCAAGACACUUUCUCCCAGUCCUCACGCUGUGAACCCUCUGCUUCAUUCCUGGGUCCCCCAAAUGUCUUCUCAGAGACACCUCUCCUGACCUGCCUAGCUCUCCUACUCGGGCGUUUCUGGUGUUUU